rnacentral:piRNA from 1 species
UUAAUAACCGGCCUCUGAGCAGGUGCAU